UGUGGCGUUGCCCAGACAACUAGGAUGUUGGCUUAGAAGCAGCCAUCAUUUAAAGAGUGCGUAAUAGCUCACUAGUCGAGUGACACUGCGCCGAAAAUGUACCGGGGCUAAACAUAUUACCGAAGCUGUGGAUUGUCCUUUGGACAAUGGUAGGAGAGCGUUCUAAGGGCGUUGAAGCAUGAUCGUAAGGACAUGUGGAGCGCUUAGAAGUGAGAAUGCCGGUGUGAGUAGCGAAAGACGGGUGAGAAUCCCGUCCACCGAUUGACUAAGGUUUCCAGAGGAAGGCUCGUCCGCUCUGGGUUAGUCGGGUCCUAAGCUGAGGCCGACAGGCGUAGGCGAUGGAUAACAGGUUGAUAUUCCUGUACCACCUAUAAUCGUUUUAAUCGAUGGGGGGACGCAGUAGGAUAGGCGAAGCGUGCGAUUGGAUUGCACGUCUAAGCAGUAAGGCUGAGUAUUAGGCAAAUCCGGUACUCGUUAAGGCUGAGCUGUGAUGGGGAGAAGACAUUGAGUCUUCGAGUCGUUGAUUUCACACUGCCGAGAAAAGCCUCUAGAUAGAAAAUAGGUGCCCGUACCGCAAACCGACACAGGUAGUCAAGAUGAGAAUUCUAAGGUGAGCGAGCGAACUCUCGUUAAGGAACUCGGCAAAAUGACCCCGUAACUUCGGGAGAAGGGGUGCUCUUUAGGGUUAACGCCCAGAAGAGCCGCAGUGAAUAGGCCCAAGCGACUGUUUAUCAAAAACACAGGUCUCUGCUAAACCGUAAGGUGAUGUAUAGGGGCUGACGCCUGCCCGGUGCUGGAAGGUUAAGAGGAGUGGUUAGCUUCUGCGAAGCUACGAAUCGAAGCCCCAGUAAACGGCGGCCGUAACUAUAACGGUCCUAAGGUAGCGAAAUUCCUUGUCGGGUAAGUUCCGACCCGCACGAAAGGCGUAACGAUUUGGGCACUGUCUCAACGAGAGACUCGGUGAAAUCAUAGUACCUGUGAAGAUGCAGGUUACCCGCGACAGGACGGAAAGACCCCGUGGAGCUUUACUGUAGCCUGAUAUUGAAAUUCGGCACAGCUUGUACAGGAUAGGUAGGAGCCUUUGAAACGUGAGCGCUAGCUUACGUGGAGGCGCUGGUGG
rnacentral:rRNA from 1 species